CGCGGUUUUCUCUCUCCCUCAGAGUGCCAUUAAGGGGAAAUUACAAGAAUUAGGAGCUUACGUGGGCUCCAUGGUGUAUUAGAUAAACUUCGUUCUGUUACAACUGAGCCCUCUAGUCUAAAGUCUCCUGAUACCAGCAUCUUUGAUAGUAACGUGCCUUCAAACAAGAGCAGUUUUAGUCGGGGAGAUGAGAGAAGGCAUGAAGCUGCCAUUCCUCCCCUUGCCGUUUCUAGCUCUAGACCUGAGAAAAGGGAUUCCAGAGUUUCUACAAGUUCACAGGAGCACAAAUCCACUAACGUCAGGUAAAAGUCCAGUGCCUACUACAGCCAGAUGGGUGUAUAAAUCCAUUAGUUCCUAUUUUCAGCAAUUUUUGGAAAUAAAUAAUCAUGGACUAGUUAUUCCUUGUCAUUUAUUAUUACAAAAUACCUGAUUUGACAUGUUAGAGGAAGAAAAGGAAGAGGAGGAGGAGGAGGAAGAAGAGGAGGAGGAGGAAGAAGAAGAAGAAGAGGAGGAAACUUGUUUUUGGUUCAAAGUUCAGAGGGCUCUUAGUUCAUCCCAGCAGCAGACUAUAGAGUCAUGGUAGCAAAACCAUAUGAAAGAGAUUCCUAACAUUGUAGUGGA
rnacentral:lncRNA from 1 species